GAUGUUUUGAUGGACUUUGAUGCUCUUGUUGAGGCACAGACUGGUUUUCGGAACAGCUGCUGUUAUAGUCAUGAACAAGCAGUGUGAUCUUAUCCUUGCUAUUUCCCGGCUCAUCAAGUUCUACAAGCAUGAGAGCUGUGGUCAGUGCACACCCUGUAGGGAGGGCUGUAGUUGGAUGACUACAAUCAUGUACAGAUUUGGUGAGUUGAGACUUCAUGCAUGUUAAAAAGAGACGAAAUAGGCACUAGGCGAGCUGCAUUCAUCUGCCAGAAUUAUUUGAAAGAAAGGACUGUUUAUAGUGUAAACAAAAGCAAGAUGAAUUAUCUUUUGUGGUAAAAUUCCUUGGUUUUUUGAAUGAGAGAGUUCUUUCUUGUAUGCUGGUUAAUCAAACUCUGAGGCUGAGGAA